rnacentral:rRNA from 23 species
CCUGGCGGCACUAGCGCGGUGGUCCCACCUGACCCCAUGCCGAACUCAGAAGUGAAACGCCGUAGCGCC